rnacentral:rRNA from 1 species
UACGUAGGGUGCAAGCGUUAUCCGGAUUUACUGGGCUUAAAGGGUGCGUAGGUGGGCAAGUAAGUCAGUGGUGAAAUCUCCGGGCUUAACCCGGAAACUGCCAUUGAUACUAUUUGUCUUGAAUACUGUGGAGGUCAGCGGAAUAUGUCAUGUAGCGGUGAAAUGCUUAGAUAUGACAUAGAACACCAAUUGCGAAGGCAGCUGGCUGCACAAAUAUUGACACUGAGGCACGAAAGCGUGGGGAUCAAACAGG